rnacentral:rRNA from 1 species
GACGAACGCUGGCGGCGUGCUUAACACAUGCAAGUCGAACGGUGAAGCGCCUUCCUUUUUGGUUGGUGGGGAUGAGUGGCGAACGGGUGCGUAACACGUGAGUAACCUGCCCCCUUCUUCAGGAUAACCGCAUGAAAGUGUGGCUAAUACGGGAUAUUCUGGUUCUGUCGCAUGAUGGGUCUGGGAAGGAUAUUGUGUCGGUGGGGGAUGGUCUCGCGGCCUAUCGGCUUGUUGGUGGUGCGAUGGCCUAUCAAGGCGGUGACGGGUAGCCGGCCUGAGAGGGUGGACGGACACACUGGGAAUGAGACACGGCCCAGACUCCUACGGGAGGCAGACGGGGGGAAUAUUGCACAAUGGGCGCAAGUCUGAUGCAGCGACACCGCGUGAGCGAUGGAGGCCUUCGGGUUGUGAACCUCUUUCGCCAGUGAAGCAGGCCUGCCUCGUUUGUGGGUGGGUUGACGGUAGCUGGAUAAGAAGCGCCGGCUAACUACGUG